rnacentral:lncRNA from 1 species
GGAAAGGAUAAACAUGGAAUGAUAGGCCUGGGAUUACUACAGCCCAGUUUAACUUUUCCUACUACAUGAAGUAUACGGCUGCUUUCCUGGUGUGUUCUCAACAUUAAAUUCACUUCCAUUCAAGCUGCUGUGCUGUAAGACCAGCUAUCAUACUCCCUGCUUCUGACUGCUCUUUUUUUCCAGAAAUGAGCAAAAUCAGUCUGCAUGAAGCCUGCCAGAGUCCUGGACCUCAGUUGCAUAGAGUUGAGCAGACUGACCUGGAAUCGAGGCUGACAACAAAAAGCAAAACACCUCAACCAUGUCCAAGAGGGAUUGCCUACGUGAAUGAAAGAUGUGGCAGAAAACAUCUAUUCCAUCUUUGUCUCUCCUACAGUCACCACUUAGUGCAAAUUUAUAGUAUGAAGAUG